rnacentral:misc_RNA from 1 species
GAUGAAGAACGUAGCGAAAUGCGAUAAGUAAUGUGAAUUGCAGAAUUCAGUGAAUCAUCGAAUCUUUGAACGCACAUUGCGCCCGCCAGUAUUCUGGCGGGCAUGCCUGUUCGAGCGUCAUUUCAACCAUCAAGCCCCCGGGCUUGUGUUGGGGACCUGCGGCUGCCGCAGGCCCUGAAAAGCAGUGGCGGGCUCGCUGUCACACCGAGCGUAGUAGAUUUUAUCUCGCUCUGGGCGUGCUGCGGGUUCCGGCCGUUAAACCACCCUUUUAACCCAAGGUUGACCUCGGAUCAGGUAGGCAGACCCGCUGAACUUAAGCAUAUCAAUAAGCGGAGGA